CUGAAGGAUCUAACUUGUUGAUUCGAAGUGGACAUACACAUUGUUUUUCGUAUAUAUAAUCUGUUUUAGGGCUAUCAUUCAUGCCUAAGGUUCAUCAACACAUCCAUUUUCCUUCAUCUUACCACCAAGGCAUUGAAGAUGAAGGCUGAUAUCAGCAUCAUUAUUAUUCCAUUUCUUGUUUACUCCUGCUUUUAGGGUUUCAUUGGAAAAGCUAGCCUGCUGACUUUGGAGCCGACGAUCCAUGGGAAAGGCCGAGUAGCUCGAUUCGAGACCGUCAUGUGGGAUUGGGAACAACAUUGACUUGAUCCAAGCCAACUCCUCAGAAGACCAGCCAGCUUGAUAGUAGAAGGCGGUUUGCAUGUAAUCUGAAGCUGACAAGAGGAGACAAAACAUAAAGUGCAAACUUUUGUAUUGGGGUGAACAUGUGAGCUUGGCUGCUUGUUACUGCUUCCCUGCUAUGGGUUGGCUUGAGCCUGAACCAUCCUGUCACCACCCUGUCAAACACUGCUUGGGGAGGCAGUCUCCAGUACACUGUGAUCACCAAAUGGCCCUCAGAGUUGGAAAAGAAGACAACACUAGAGGUCUUCUCCCCUGCUUACCCAGGUUUCUCUCUUGCCAUUUAUGGGUGGUGAAGCCAUGGCCCCACCCUAGAAUUCUGGGCCAGAAGAGCUUGGAACCUGUUGCUGUGAAGGGGGGUCGUUACUCACUGAAAGGAAAGCCUGUGAUGCAGGACAUUAGGUGAAGUCAUGUCAAAACAAGUCACAGUGGCUUGGACAGUUCUCAGGGAAGCAGUCUGUGUUCCACUGGCGAGCUUUGUGCAUCUCCCUUUUAACCUUUGGAAACUGCAGCUUCAACCGGAGAAGAGGGUGUUGUGGUCAAGGUGGAAGCUCAGCAGUGCAAAAUUAAUGCUCUGGCCUUCAAAACCAGUCUCUUUGAUGGCUUGGAGAGAGUUAGGUUUUUGUCUGGGAGCAUCUAAAACCUCAUGUGUUAUUGUUAAGAAAAGAAAUAUAUAUCUUUGUUGUUUUUCUUAACUCCAAAGAUAUAUAAACUAUACUGUUUAUCCUGCAUGAGAUUGACUUAUUUGAGGUUGGAAUGUUUAAUGACUUUCAUCAGGAAGAACUUGUAUUUUAUCAGAUUUUUCAGUACUUUAA